rnacentral:rRNA from 1 species
AUUGAACGCUGGCGGCAUGCUUUACACAUGCAAGUCGAACGGUAACAGGCCGCAAGGUGCUGACGAGUGGCGAACGGAUGAGUAAUGCGUCGGAACGUGCCGAGUAGUGGGGGAUAACGCAUCGAAAGGUGUGCUAAUACCGCAUACGAACUGAGGUUGAAAGUGGGGGACCUUCGGGCCUCACGCUAUUCGAGCGGCCGACGUCUGAUUAGCUAGUUGGUGAGGUAAAGGCUCACCAAGGCGACGAUCAGUAGCGGGUCUGAGAGGAUGAUCCGCCACACUGGGACUGAGACACGGCCCAGACUCCUACGGGAGGCAGCAGUGGGGAAUUUUGGACAAUGGGCGCAAGCCUGAUCCAGCCAUGCCGCGUGUCUGAAGAAGGCCUUCGGGUUGUAAAGGACUUUUGUCCGGGAGCAAAUACCCAGUGCUAAUAACGCUGGGGGCUGAGAGUACCGGAAGAAUAAGCACCGGCUAACUACGUGCCAGCCGCCGCAGUAACAC